rnacentral:rRNA from 1 species
GACGAACGCUGGCGGCGUGCUUAACACAUGCAAGUCGAACGAAGUGGCGAACGGGUGAGUAACGCGUAAUCAACCUGCCCUUCAGAGGGGGACAACAGUUGGAAACGACUGCUAAUACCCCAUACUGAAGGAGGGGAUUGCGUCUGAUUAGCUAGUUGGCGGGGCAACGGCCCACCAAGGCGAUGAUCAGUAGCCGGGCUGGAAGGAUGAACGGCCACAUUGGGACGUGUACACGGCCCCGACUCCUACGGGAGGCAGCAGUGGGGAAUCUUCCGCAAUGGACGAAAGUCUGACGGAGCAACGCCGCGUGAGUGAUGGCGGCCUUCGGGUUGUAAAGCUCUGUUAAUCGGGACGCGGUACCGGAAGAGAAAGCCACGGCUAACUACGUGCCAGCCGCCGCGGUAAUUC